rnacentral:rRNA from 1 species
GACGAACGCUGGCGGCGUGCUUAACACAUGCAAGUCGAACGGAAAGGCCCCCUUGUGGGGUACUCGAGUGGCGAACGGGUGAGUAACACGUGAGUAACCUACCCUUGACUUUGGGAUAACUUCAGGAAACUGGGGCUAAUACCGGAUAGGAGCUCCUGCUGCAUGGUGGGGGUUGGAAAGUUUCGGCGGUUGGGGAUGGGCUCGCGGCUUAUCAGCUUGUAGGUGGGGUAGUGGCUCACCAAGGCUUUGACGGGUAGCCGGCCUGAGAGGGUGACCGGCCACAUUGGGACUGAGAUACGGCCCAGACUCCUACGGGAGGCAGCAGUGGGGAAUAUUGCACAAUGGGCGGAAGCCUGAUGCAGCAACGCCGCGUGCGGGAUGACGGCCUUCGGGUUGUAAACCGCUUUCGCCUGUGACGAAGCGUGAGUGACGGUAAUGGGUAAAGAAGCACCGGCUAACUACGUG